AGAGUUUGAUCCUGGCUCAGGAUGAACGCUAGCUACAGGCUUAACACAUGCAAGUCGAGGGGAAACGAUAUUGGAAGCUUGCUUCCGAUAGGCGUCGACCGGCGCACGGGUGAGUAACGCGUAUCCAACCUGCCCACCACUUGGGGAUAACCUUGCGAAAGUAAGACUAAUACCCAAUGAUAUCUCUAGAAGACAUCUGAAAGAGAUUAAAGAUUUAUCGGUGAUGGAUGGGGAUGCGUCUGAUUAGCUUGUUGGCGGGGUAACGGCCACAAGGCGACGAUCAGGUAGGGGUUCUGAGAGGAACGGUCCCCCACAUUGGAACUGAGACACGGUCCAAACUCCGUACGGGAGGCA
rnacentral:rRNA from 1 species